rnacentral:rRNA from 1 species
UAGUCCACGCCGUAAACGAUGAGUGCUAGUCGCUGGGACAAUAGUUUCAGUGUCGUAGCUAACGCAUUAAGCACUCCGCCUGGGAAGUACGGUCGCAAGAUUAAAACUCAAAUAAAUUGACGGGGGCCCGCACAAGCGGUGGAGCAUGUGGUUUAAUUCGAAGCAACGCGAAGAACCUUACCAGACCUUGACAUGGUAUGUUUGAAUUACAGAAUCGUAAUUCUUCAGUUCGGCUGGCAUACACACAGGUGCUGCAUGGUUGUCGUCAGCUCGUGUCGUGAGAUGUUGGGUUAAGUCCCGCAACGAGCGCAACCCUCAUUUUUAGUUGCCAUCAGGUUAUGCUGGGCACUCUAGAAAAACUGCCGGUGAUAAGCUGGAGGAAGGCGGGGGAUGACGUCAAGUCCUCAUGGGCCCUUACGGGGUCUGGGGCUACACACGUGCUACAAUGGGUGGUGACAGAGGGGCAGGCAAUA